rnacentral:rRNA from 1 species
AACGAACGCUGGCGGCGUGCCUAACACAUGCAAGUCGAGCGAGAAAGUCUUCGGAUGAGUAAAGCGGCGGACGGGUGAGUAAUACGUAGGUAAUCUACCUUAUGGUGGGGAAUAACUAAGGGAAACUUUAGCUAAUACCCCAUGUGGCUACAGAUCUUAUGGUCUGUAUAGAAAGGGGGUCGGUAAGAUCUCUCGCCAUAAGAAUGAGCCU